rnacentral:rRNA from 1 species
UACGUAGGUGGCGAGCGUUGUCCGGAUUUACUGGGCGUAAAGAGCGCGCAGGCGGUCGUUCAAGUCGCGUGGGAAAGCCCCCGGCUCAACUGGGGAGGGUCACGCGAUACUGAUCGACUCGAAGGCAGGAGAGGGUAGUGGAAUUCCCGGUGUAGUGGUGAAAUGCGUAGAUAUCGGGAGGAACACCAGUGGCGAAGGCGACUACCUGGCCUGUUCUUGACGCUGAGGCGCGAAAGCUAGGGGAGCAAACGGG